CGGAGGUGCAAGCGUUGUCCGGAUUUAUGGUUUAAAGGGUGCGUAGGUGGCCUUAUAAGUCAGCGGUGAAAGUCUGCAGCUUAACUGUAGAACUGCCAUUGAUACUGUAAGGCUUGAGUACUGAUGAGGUAGGCGGAAUUGAUAGUGUAGCGGUGAAAUGCAUAGAUAUUAUCAAGAACACCGAUUGCGAAGGCAGCUUACUAAGGAGUUACUGACACUGAGGCACGAAAGCGUGGGGAUCAAACAGGAUUAGAUACCCUGGUAGUCCACGCCAUAAACGAUGAUUACUCGAUGUAUGCGAUAGACUGUAUGCGUCCAAGCGAAAGCGUUAAGUAAUCCACCUGGGGAGUACGACCGCAAGGUUG
rnacentral:rRNA from 1 species